rnacentral:rRNA from 1 species
CAGUCGAACGAACUUAACCAUUAGUUUACUAUUGGAGCGGUUAGUGGCGGACUGGUGAGUAACACGUAAGCAACCUGCCUAUCAGAGGGGAACAACAGUUAGAAAUGACUGCUAAUACCGCAUAUGCCUUAGAAUCACAUGGUUCAAAAGGGAAAGGAGCAAUCCGCUGAUAGAUGGGCUUGCGUCUGAUUAGCUAGUUGGUGGGGUAAUGGCCUACCAAGGCAACGAUCAGUAGCCGAACUGAGAGGUUGAACGGCCACAUUGGGACUGAGAUACGGCCCAGACUCCUACGGGAGGCAGCAGUCGGGAAUAUUGCGCAAUGGAGGAAACUCUGACGCAGUGACGCCGCGUGCAGGAAGAAGGUUUUCGGAUUGUAAACUGCUUUAGACAAGGAAGAACAAAGACAGUACCUGUAGAAUAAGCUCCGGCUAACUACGUGCCAGCAGCCGCGGUAAUACGUAGGGAGCGAGCGUUAUCCGGAUUUAUUGGGUGUAAAGGGUGCGUAGACGGGAAGUCAAGUUAGUUGUGAAAUCCCUCGGCUUAACUGAGGAACUGCAACUAAAACUGAUUUUCUUGAGUACUGGAGAGGAAAGUGGAAUUCCUAGUGUAGCGGUGAAAUGCGUAGAU